GGUGAGCGGAGCCCCUAGAGAUUGCCCUGGAGCACAAACCACCCUAAAUGGAGCCUGAAGGUCUGUCAGUUCCCAGAGAGCAAUGAGGAAAUGAACCGUAACACUGGAUUUGGUGCUGGAAUAUAAAACUUGGUGAAACUUCCAGGCUGGUGGAAAGUCUGUCACCUCCUUACUGCAAGUGGAUGUUCUCGUCUGACAUUAAAGUUCCCGUGUCUCUUGCUGAAACUGGCUAGUGAAUCCCGAAGGCCUGACAUAGAAGAAGCUUCCAUUGUUGACACGGGACCUGUAGAGCCCUGCCCUUCGUUGGAGUUACAGGCACACCUGGCUUCCAGCAGAUCAGGAGAGGGUAAGAUGCCCGACUCACAUCUCUUCUCCUGCCUGAUCUGGGGCCGCAAAGCAGGGCCUCAGCCUGGACAUCAACCCCAGCACUUCAAGGAGGUGCCGUCCUAUUGGAUUUGAUGAACUUGACCUCUAGCAGAGCGUCCUGGAAGAUCACAGACUUAACACAGCACAAGGGACUGGUUUUCAGAGCAAACCCCUGGUUUUAUAGAUGAAACUAGUAAAAGAAGAAAAAUUCACUGAAGCGCCCAUGUACUUUAUCCUGCCCCCAACCUUGUCCUUUCCAUAAUGAGAAUGUCUCCAUGUGGAAUGGCCUGCAGGGUCCUGUCCCUGGGCUGGCCACAGUGACGGAUGCCCUACCUCACUCCUCAUGCCCUCUUUUGAGAAAUGUAACUCUCUCAAGCACCUCCCGUUACCCUUCAGAGAUUCAAAUAUGCACCUGCAGAGGUGGGAUGGAGAAUGCUGUGCAGAGGGGAUUCUUGUAACUGACAGAAACUUUCUCCAGAAGCAGAAUGACUCUAGAGCUUUGUGCCCCAUUUGGCGUUCUUAAAACUGAGAAACACUCGGGUGAAGUUGUCCUCCACCUCCGGCUCACAGGGGAGAUCCUACCGUUUGUCUUUGGCCCUGCCUAGUCCAGUUAGCAGCUCUUACCCUGGCUGGCUGCCUCCUCGAAAGCUCACUGCUGACUCAGGCAGCUGAGAGAACAGGGUCUGAAAUUCCCAUUCAAUGCAGAUUCCUGGACUCUUCUGAUCUUGGGGCGAGAUGCAGAAAUGUACAUUUUUGAACACAUAAAGUUUUUCUUUCUGAUGGCACAAGUGUAAUAUAGGUAGAUACAUGUAGUAUCUACUCAGUGUAAAAACAAUAAACGUUCACACAAAGCAGUGCCCCCCACCCCUUCCCUACACCAUUCCUUCCCACAGGUUAUCACUUAUCAUCUUGGUUUGUGUCCUUAUAAUCCUCUUGGAACACAUACAUGGA